GAAAUGCGAUAAGUAAUGUGAAUUGCAGAAUUCAGUGAAUCAUCGAAUCUUUGAACGCACAUUGCGCCCGCUAGCAUUCUGGCGGGCAUGCCUGUCCGAGCGUCAUUUCAACCCUCAGGGUCCCCGUCUUCGCGCGGGGAACCUGGUGUUGGGGAUCGGCCCGCCCCCGCGCGGCGCCGUCCCCCAAAUUCAGUGGCGGUCUCGCUGCAGCCUCCCCUGCGUAGUAGCUUACAACCUCGCAUCGGAGCGCCGCGUGGCCACGCCGUAAAACCCCCCGACUUUCUGAACGUUGACCUCGGAUCAGGUAGGAAUACCCGCUGAACUUAAGC
rnacentral:misc_RNA from 1 species